CCUACGGGUGGCAGCAGUCGAGAAUCAUUCACAAUGGGGGAAACCCUGAUGGUGCGACGCAGCGUGGGGGAAUGAAGGCCUUCGGAUUGUAAACCCCUGUCAUGUGGGAGCAAAUUAAAAAGAUAGUACCACAUGAGGAAGAGACGACUAACUCUGUGCCAGCAGCCGCGGUAAUACAGAGGUCUCAAGCGUUGUUCGGAAUCACUGGGCGUAAAGCGUGCGUAGGCUGUUUCGUAAGUCGUGUGUGAAAGGCGCGGGCUCAACCCGCGGACGGCACAUGAUACUGGGAGACUAGAGUAAUGGAGGGGGAACCGGAAUUCUCGGUGUAGCAGUGAAAUGCUUAGAGAUCGAGAGGAACACUCGUUGCGAAGGCGGGUUCCUGGACAUUAACUGACGCUGAGGCACGAAGGCCAGGGGAGCGAAAGGGAUUAGAUACCCUGGUAGUC
rnacentral:rRNA from 1 species